UCCUAUUGAGUGCUUAUUGAAUGCCAGGCUCUGUGUUAGCGACUAGAAUGACCAAACCAAUGUGAAAAGAAUUCUCUUAGAGGAACAGUUGAAUACGCAUUUCAGAGAAUGAGAAGCGCAGAGAAGGAGAAUUCCAAUUGAAUAAAGUCAUGGGACGGGACGCCCCAUCUGCUGGGCUUUAAGAUUAUCUAUUUUAGAUAAACAGAAAUAAAGCCAAGGAGGAAGAUGACUUGGAGUCUGUGCGAAGCAAAUGAGACAUCUACAUGUAUAGAAGAUCAAGACAUGGAAUGAUUAAUCUCACCUAAGUAGGAAUUUGCCUCUUUGCAAAUACAUAUACCAAUAUACGUAGAAGCCUAUUCAUUACAGUAUCACUUAAAACAGGAAAAUAUUGAAAACCACAUAUUAAAUGAUCUGACAGACAUCCCUCCUGAGUACUUGACACCUCCUUUCAAUUUCUAUUUGUUCUUCAGAAUCUCUCUUGUUUUAUGACAAGAUUGGGAUAAUGCCAGUAGUUCAGCAGUGGAAUUGAGAACUCGGGAAGGAACCAGAGUCACGCCUGCUUCCCCAGUUCCUGCAUUCCAGCUUCCUUCUCUCUUCUUCUUUCUGACAUACUCCUGACAUGUAGCAUGGUAAAAGGGAAGUUAUGUUACUUUAAGAGGUAACAGGUAAUGGAUUGAAAAAUUAGAAAGAAUGAAUAAGACCUAGCAUUUGCGGGCACAAAAGGGUAACUGUAUUCCAAAACAAUUUGAGUGUUCAUUUUGAAAGAACUAAAAGAGCAUAACUGGAUUGUCUGUAACACAAAGGAUAAAUGCUUGAGGUGAAGAAGACUCCAUUUACUGUG
rnacentral:lncRNA from 13 species